AUACGCAGGUGGCUAGCGUUGUUCGGUGUCACUGGGCUUAAAGCGCUCGUAGGCGGAACCGUAAGUGUCUUGUGAAAUCCCCCGGCUCAACCGGGGAAUGGCUGGGCAUACUGCGGUUCUUGAGGCAAACAGGGGUGCAUGGAACUCUUGGUGGAGCGGUGGAAUGCGUAGAUAUCAAGAGGAACGCCGAUGGUGAAGACAAUGCACUGGGUUUGUCCUGACGCUGAGGAGCGAAAGCGUGGGGAGCAAACAGGAUUAGAUACCCUGGUAGUCCACGCCCUAAACGAUGUUUACUAGGUUGUAGAGGAUCUGACGCCUUUACAGUCGGAGCAAAAGUGUUAAGUAAACCGCCUGGGGAGUACGGUCGCAAGGCUAAA
rnacentral:rRNA from 1 species